rnacentral:sRNA from 12 species
GCUUUCAACAUCCCCGUUCGUUUCCGCGCAUUGCGGAAGCAGGACUGAAGGC